UGUAGGCCAUGCCAUUCUUGAUUGAGCUUGCUGGGUCAUAAUAUCUUCUACACGGGUUCAGCCUCCCAAUUAAUAUUUGAAAAUAGCACCUAUCAAAACAGAUGUACCAUAAUUGGCCCUAAUUGUUAGUCUCAUGGUAGCUCAAGUUUCUUCGUCCAAGCAGUUAUGUGCCAUUUCUUGCUCACAACUAUUCUCCUCUCAAAACCAAUUUUGCUUUUG
rnacentral:misc_RNA from 1 species